rnacentral:rRNA from 1 species
UACAGAGGGUGCAAGCGUUGUUCGGAAUUAUUGGGCGUAAAGGGUGCGUAGGCGGUGCGGUAAGUCUGUAGUGAAAUCUCUGGGCUCAACUCAGAGUCUGCUAUAGAAACUGCCGUGCUUGAGUGUGGGAGAGGAGAAUGGAAUUCCUGGUGUAGCGGUGAAAUGCGCAGAUAUCAGGAAGAACACCCGUGGCUAAGGCGGUUCUCUAGUACGGUACUGACGCUGAGACGCGAAAGCGUGGGGAGCGAACAGG